rnacentral:rRNA from 1 species
GAUCCUGGCUCAGGAUGAACGCUAGCUACAGGCUUAACACAUGCAAGUCGAGGGGCAGCAUGUUGGUUGCUUGCAACCAAUGAUGGCGACCGGCGCACGGGUGAGUAACGCGUAUCCAACCUACCCUUGUCCAUCGGAUAACCCGUCGAAAGGCGGCCUAACACGAUAUGCGGUUCACAGCGAGCAUACUACGUAGAAACGAAAUGGUAGGAAGGAAGGAAAGGAGGUGGGGAUGCGUCUGUAA